rnacentral:piRNA from 1 species
UAGAAUAGAGUGUCACAGCAUGUCCC